UCCGAACGCUUCAACAGCUGAUUGUGACGUCACAAAGGGGCCCGCCCGCUCGCGUCAGCGGCCGUCGGGGCGGCAGCCAAUCACAGGCGCCGGAGGCUCUUUCCCCGCCCUUCCGCGGUUUGCCAGCGGGUGGCUGUAGCCCGGGAGCUGCUCUCGGAGCCUCUGUCUGAGUGAAGACUGCCAGCUGACAUGGAACACUUAACCAUAUGCCAAGCACUGUGCUGCUUUCUAAUCUUCACCAUAAACCCAAAAGCUCUCCCCAGCCUUCUGGACCUCUGGAAAUACGACCCCUAUAAUCAGUUGGCUCUGGUCUCAGCCCGGAACACUGGUAACAAGAAGCCAAGUGGGUGAGAGGUGACAGAAGAAACUGCUUGGAGUGAUGUCCGUUACAGCCCAGGUGCCUACCUCGAAGCCCGGCGCCCUUGGAAAGGCUGAUGGAACACAGAACAGGAAUCCUGUUCAUAAAGGAGAGUUGGCUUCAUUUGGUUGCCACCUGAACUCUUAUAUUAUUAAUUAAAAUAGAUUUUAAACAGUGCAACAGUUUACUCAUAUAUUGUAUAAUUUAAAAAGCAUAAAUGAAAAUUU